rnacentral:rRNA from 1 species
GACGAACGCUGGCGGCGUGCCUAAUACAUGCAAGUAGAACGCACAGUUUAUACCGUAGCUUGCUACACCAUAGACUGUGAGUUGCGAACGGGUGAGUAACGCGUAGGUAACCUGCCUGGUAGCGGGGGAUAACUAUUGGAAACGAUAGCUAAUACCGCAUAAUAUUGAUUAUUGCAUGAUAAUUGAUUGAAAGAUGCUAUUGCAUCACUACCAGAUGGACCUGCGUUGUAUUAGCUAGUAGGUGAGGUAACGGCUCACCUAGGCGACGAUACAUAGCCGACCUGAGAGGGUGAUCGGCCACACUGGGACUGGGACACGGCCCAGACUCCUACGGGAGGCAGCAGUAGGGAAUCUUCGGCAAUGGACGAAAGUCUGACCGAGCAACGCCGCGUGAGUGAAGAAGGUUUUCGGAUCGUAAAGCUCUGUUGUAAGAGAAGAACGGGUGUGAGAGUGGAAAGUUCACACUGUGACGGUAUCUUACCAGAAAGGGACGGCUAACUACGUG